rnacentral:rRNA from 1 species
AUUGAACGCUGGCGGCAUGCUUUACACAUGCAAGUCGAACGGUAACAGGCCUUCGGGUGCUGACGAGUGGCGAACGGGUGAGUAAUGCAUCGGAACGUACCCAGAGGUGGGGGAUAACGCAGCGAAAGCUGUGCUAAUACCGCAUGUGAUCUGAGGAUGAAAGCGGGGGACCGAGCAGCAAUGUUUGGCCUCGCGCCUUUGGAGCGGCCGAUGUCGGAUUAGCUAGUUGGUGGGGUAAAGGCCGACCAAGGCGACGAUCCGUAGCUGGUCUGAGAGGACGACCAGCCACACUGGGACUGAGACACGGCCCAGACUCCUACGGGAGGCAGCAGUGGGGAAUUUUGGACAAUGGGCGCAAGCCUGAUCCAGCAAUGCCGCGUGCGGGAAGAAGGCCUUCGGGUUGUAAACCGCUUUUGGCAGGAACGAAACGGUGUCCGCUAAUACCGGGCGCUAAUGACGGUACCUGCAGAAUAAGCACCGGCUAACUACGUG